CCCGGGGAGGGGGCGGGGCCGAGGGGGCGCGGCUCCCGGCGGCCCCCGGGGCUGCGGGGUCUCGGCUGCAGGGCGGUCCACGUUCCCGGCCGAAUUCACCCCGUCUGCUCCCCCCGCCCUUGCCUCUUUCUGCAUCCUCACCCUGCCCAGGUGUCCCCCAUCUGAGCGCGCGGGAACCCGAAGAAAAGACUGAGCCACGUUAAGGCGAGGGUUGGCAGAGGCCUUUGGGCCUCCCGGGACCCCUCUAAACACAAAAACAAUUCAUCUCCCCCCUCGUUCGCAAGCUCGGGGCUCCUGGGAAGGACCAUCCUUUGCCUGGAGACAAUGUCUGGACAGAUUUGGGUUCAAAUCCCAGCAUCUCAUGCCUUGGGGGAGCCCCACGUCCAAAGAGCGCCUCAUCUGUGAAGUGGGAUUUACCCUACCCACCCCUCGGUGUUGAUGAAAUUGAGACCGUGCGUGCCAAGUGUUGAGAACACAGUAAGCGCUUAAUAAACGUUAGCGGCUGUCAUGCUUAAUGUUAUUGCCGUUGUUACAACUGACUCGCCGUGGGCCCGAAGGAUCCUGCGGUUGCUGAGCCUCAAUCUUCCCCGCUGUAAAAUGUAGACCGUACUCUUCUUCAGAGCUGUUGCAUGCAGGUGGCGUUCCAUAAAUGCAGCAGGCCCGUGCCCAAGCGGAGGAGAGUGGAGGUCUCUUCGGAGCUUCUCCAGGGUCUCUGGAGUCUCUAGAGCGCGCAGCUUGGCUCGAGGCCGACCCCGCACUCCCUUGGAAACCCGGAUGUCAGCUCCCCAAGGAUCAUUGUCUGUCUUGUCCUCUGCUGAGUCCCUGGCUCCUACAACAGUGUCUAGCGUGUGGAAAGGGCUCAGUAAGUAGCUGCUGGGUGAACAGAUGGUUGAACAAACAGAGCAUGAUGGGGUAUGGCUGGAGUUUUUCGUGCUGACGAACCUGAAGUGGGGGGCAGUCUCCAGAUGCUGCAGAUGGUGGGGAUGGAGGGGUUCCAGCACGUCUCUGGAGUUCAAGCUUGACCCUGAGGAUUGUGGGAGCGACUGACGGAUUCUUAGCAGGGGAGGGACUAAGGAUCGUUUCUCAAAAGAUAAGGCUCUUUGCAAACCAAGUCUCCUCCAGCAGGGGCCAGAAAAAGAGAGGGGAGUAGAUUCAUCUGGCACCAGAAAGAAUAAACGUAUCAACAAGGCUAAACUCAAAAAACCAUUGGGUUGGAGGGGGAAUUAAAAAAAAAAAAAAAGCAAACAGAAAAAAAAUGAUACAAUUUGAUAGUGCUUAUAUCCAUUACUGAAGAACAGAAAGUGAAACUAUGUAUCAAGUUUAUAACAAACAUAGGGGCUAGUGUCCUGUGGUGUGCCAGGCAUCCUGGCUCAGGUGAGUGAGGCUACCUGGGCUCAAAUCCUGGCAGUGCCCCAGACCAACAGUAAAAUUCUGAGCAAGUGACUUCACUGCCCUGUGCUUCAGUUUCUUCGUCUGUAGAAGGGGAUGAUAAUCCACGCAGCCUCCUAGGGUUACUGGGAAGCUUAAAUGAGUCCAUUCUUUUGUUUUUUUUAGUGUUCACUUAUUUUCCAGAGACAGCGAUUAGGGGAGGGGCAGAGAGAGAGGGAGACAGAGAAUCCCAAGCAGGCUCUGCAGCUGUCAGCGCAGAGCCCAACAUGGGUCUGAAACUCACAAACCGAACUGCGAGAUCCGGGACCUGAGCGGAAGGAAGUCAGGCGCUUAACUGACGGAGCCACCCUGGUGCCCCAAGUUAAUUCUUGUAAAGCACAGAGCAAGGGGUCGGUAAUUGUUCAGUAUCUUUUUUUUUUUAGGUUGUUGUUUCUGUAGCGGGGGAGGGGAGUGAACGUGGGAAGGUGAACACACGUGACCUCCAUUUUAACUAUGAGGUACUCCCGGCUGCCCAAGACCACCCCACCAUCACCCCAAAACUGCACCAUCUGGCGCCCGAACGUGGGGCCUCGAUCUUUUCAUUUUCAUCUGGACUCUGUGCUUCGGGGCAAAUUUGGUGAGUAUGCUUUCUCCUUCCUCCUUGACUCUCAUCUCAGGGGCUUUUUUUGAGAAGCGUGGCCUUAUUGGGACACUUUCCUGUGGGUUGCUCAGGCUGCCAUCCUCUAGCCCGUGGCCACUCUACCAGGAGGAGAAAGCCUGCCUUUUGGCUGGAUGUUAGGACCUUGGCCACGAUGGUAGUAAGAUCCAGAAACUCGAUGCCCUGUCUUUAUUCCUGUCCUUACACAAAGUUGUCCGUGUCGGGCAGGGGGCAGCCACCUAAGUGACUAGCACGGCUUCCCAUCUUAAGACUCCCGUGUGAAAUUUCCCCUUCGUUGGUCUGAGUCAAUCCCCUCCACAUCUCUGGUCUAGCCCCUUCUGGCCACAGGACCUCCACUGGGGGCCGGCUGAAGCCAGUACCCGAUUGAAUUAAAACCCAACUGGGGACCAUUUCCUAGGAAGCUGGAUGUCAGGACUACAUAUGUUGGAAUGUCGCUCAGAUCAUGAUAUUUCUGUCUUUACGGUUUUCGGUCAAUGUCCUCUACUAACCACUUAAAUCACAAAAUUGGGUAACUCCCCCUUGUAAAACUUUGCUAGUGUUUUCCAUGGGUUAAAAACGGCAAGUUCUUCAAGAAACUAAAGCAUGGCCUUCACGGCAUGCUCUUCAAAGUCUGGGUAAACCAAGGCACGGCCUUUUAUGGCGUGGUUUUCAAGGUACAGUAUUUCGGUCCAUACACCUGGCCCCCGUUUGUAGCCGAGGAUGCAAUGCGGAAGCGGAGGGACACGGGCAUCCCUUCUACAGGGGCCCUUUAUGGCACCUUCCUUGGGCAGACCUGCCUCCAAGUAGUAAGGUAGUAGGAAGACGCCUCGGGUCACUUUGACAGCUCGGGAACCUCUGACAUAGCCUGUGCGGGGGACCCCACCCAGGAGUCGGGGGCGGGAUUUUCGUGGUGCUAAACCCUCUCUACUCUUCUCUCUCUGGGAGGAGCUUGGAACUUCUCUUCAGUCCCCAAGGACUCUCCCUUGGGAUGCCUUUUUAACCCGCUGGAGACAAUUCGCAUUACAAAGUUCAGGAAAGGACUGACCUCCUGAAACAGCGCUAGCAGAUCUCUUCUGCAGAAAACAGGGCGAUAGGGCGGAGGUACCCCACCUAGGCCCAGGCCUUCACGGCUCUAAAUCAGGAUCUUAAGGACUUAAGAGCCUCUUGCAGAAUGCGUUUGCCCAGAUGUGUUUGGCUAGUAAACUCCCUCCUGACAAAAAUGUCUAAACAGUCCUCCUCCUGGUAGAACUCGGUCGCUGGAGGAAACACAGGCCAUCCUCGACAAAGGGGACGCUGGCUUUUUCUGGCUGUUCCUCCUAAUCGAUCUGAGGGCCUCUCCCUCAUUCAUUUCCCGGGUUAAUGGCUAUGAUAAUCGGAGCCAACUGUGGCUUAGUCUGCCUCAGGACGGGGACUUUAAGGAAUAUUCCCAAGCAGCUGCCCAAACGCCCUUUGCUUGGGGGAAAGUUUCCUGUCUUCGCCGGCCUGACAUGGACUCCAUAUUUCCACAAGCUGCAGGGUUGAGAACCGGGAGUCCUCUUUUCUCUGCCUCCUGCUGUCACCUGGCCUGCCUCUCCUGCCUCCCCCUCCCCCUCUGGUUUCUACACCACUUUGGGUUCCGCCUCCAUCACUGGUUUCUGUACCCUCCCCGCUGUCUCAGGCACUAUUUGCUCCUUCUCCCACUGUCUGUGUCAAGGAGCAAAGGGCACCCCCUUAGACUGCCCACUUCAGGCUCCCUGCUGGCAUCCCAGGUAAAAACUAAUAAUGGGGAACAAAUUGAUUGACUUUUUAAAAACGUUUUUUAUUUAUUUUUGAGGGAGAGAGACAGAGAUGAGUGGGGGAGGAGCAGAGAGAGAGGGAGACACAGAAUCGGA